rnacentral:rRNA from 1 species
UGACAAGAAAUAACAACUCUUGGAUUUCUAAGAAGUGUAAUGAGGAUAAUUUACAACCCUUACCGAAAGCAAUUGGAGGGCAAGUCUGGUGCCAGCAGCCGCGGUAAUUCCAGCUCCAAUAGCGUAUAUUAAAGUUGUUGCAGUUAAAAAGCUCGUAGUUGAAGUUCUGAUUGUUCGGGCCUCGCGCUUUAUAGCCGAGGAACCGACAGUCAUCCGCUUGCAAAUAUAUGUUCGCCUUUAACCGGGUGGCUAUAUGAGUAAGCAAUUUACCUUGAGAAAAACAGAGUGUUCCAGGCAGGUUUGUCCGGAAUGCAUUAGCAUGGAAUAAUAGAAUAUGACUGAAGUCGAUUUAUUGGUUUAAGGCUUUAGUAAUGAUUAAUAGGAACAGUCGGGGGCAUUGGUACUUGACAGUCAGAGGUGAAAUUCUAGGAUUUGUCAAAGACUAACAAAUGCGAAAGCAUUUGCCAAGGAUGGUUUUUCAUUAAAUCAAGAACGAAAGUUAGGGGAUCAAAAGACGAUCAGAUACCGUCC